AGUUUAACUUAUGAAUCAUAAACAUACUGCUAAAAAUUCUAAACUUCAGGUCUAAUAAUAUAAACUACAUCUAAGUAUUUUGCAGUCCACAGGAUAAUUGAGGGAAGUUAGUUCUGAGAUGAUGAAAAUAAUAUAUGGUCUCAAAGGAAGUCGGCCUCAUUGUGAACAAGACGAAAUCCCGCUUUAUAUAAACCAAGGCAGGUUGGAAAAGUCCAGAAGCAAAUUUUAGAAGAAAAAUAUUGUACUGAAUAACUACAAUGGGCCAUUGAAGAAGAGAAGACGGCACAAGAGGGAAAUAUGGGCCUUAGAAAAAGAUAUCACGCCUCUAUCCCAUAAAGAGGUAGGCAGAGCACAUGAACUACUAAGUUUCUGUGCCACUCUUGGCAAAAAGGGGUGGAAAGAAAUCCAAAUUAUGACAUUGAAGAAGUGAAGACUAAAUAAGUAAACCAAAGGCCCCAAGAAUAUAAAAGACUGCAAUGAAAUUGUCAAGAAGAGGGUGCGAGAGCAGAA